AACGAACGCUGGCGGCAGGCCUAACACAUGCAAGUCGAGCGAAGCCUUCGGGCUUAGCGGCGGACGGGUGAGUAACGCGUGGGAACGUGCCCUUUGCUACGGAAUAGCCCCGGGAAACUGGGAGUAAUACCGUAUGUGCCCUUCGGGGGAAAGAUUUAUCGGCAAAGGAUCGGCCCGCGUUGGAUUAGGGCGUUGGUGGGGUAAUGGCCUACCAAGCCGACGAUCCAUAGCUGGUUUGAGAGGAUUAUCAGCCACACUGGGACCGCGACACGGCCCAGACUCCUACGGGUAGCAGCAGUGGGGAAUCUUAGACAAUGGGCGGAAGCCUGAUCUAGCCAUGCCGCGUGAUCGAUGAAGACCUUAGGGUUGUAAAGCUCUAUCGACGGGGACGAUAAUGACGGUACCCGUAGAAGAAGCCCCGGCUAACUUCGUGCCAGCCGCCGCGGUAAAAC
rnacentral:rRNA from 1 species